rfam:Triticum aestivum genome assembly, contig: Triticum_aestivum_CS42_TGACv1_scaffold_434462_5DL
UCACUACUCCCUCCGUUCCGAAUUACUUGUCGCGGGUAUGGAUGUAUCUAGAUGUAUUUUAGUUCUAGAUACAUCCAUUUCUACAAUGAGUAAUUUGGAACAGAGGGAGUACAUA